UACGUAGGGUGCGAGCGUUAAUCGGAAUUACUGGGCGUAAAGCGUGCGCAGGCGGUUGUGCAAGACAGAUGUGAAAUCCCCGGGCUCAACCUGGGAACUGCAUUUGUGACUGCACGGCUGGAGUGCGGCAGAGGGGGAUGGAAUUCCGCGUGUAGCAGUGAAAUGCGUAGAUAUGCGGAGGAACACCGAUGGCGAAGGCAAUCCCCUGGGCCCGCACUGACGCUCAUGCACGAAAGCGUGGGGAGCAAACAGG
rnacentral:rRNA from 1 species